CUGCGUUUUCCCUCAGUAAGCUUGAGAAAGGUAAAAAUUAUCUUAUUAUGGGUGCUUUGGUCAUGAAGAGAAAAUGAUGCUAGAUAUGAAUAGAAGAAAUUCCUCUUAUCCCUGGGAAUUUUUAAGCAUUAAAUUAAUUCCCCUAUCUCUUGGAGUGUUAAUGGGAAGGCUUUCAGCUCUGUGUAAGGCAGAAGUCCACAUUUGCAUUUAGAUGGAGCUAUUUUAAGGAUUGUAGUAUAUACAUAGGGGCCUGUAUCCCAUUUACAAUAGGAUCUGUAAGAUAAAAUUAAUAUCUAGUAAGUGGUUGUUUGUCCCAUUUUGCUGUAAUCUGAACCAGUAACUGAAGUGGUAUAAUCUGACAUAAUAAAUACCAGAGUCAUUCAGUGGAGAGAUAUCCACACACAAGGAGGAAUGCACUCUUUAAGCAGUGAAGUGGGUUAUGUUUUUUUCCCUUUCACGAGGCUGCCAUGAAGCACUGCGUCCUGCCAGUGAUACCCAGAAGACUUUUCUUGUGUCGAGCAACCUGCUGCCUCUGGGGAGAAAUGGGAAACCACAGCAGGGUGGUGGUGGCUCUCAGACAGGCUUUUGAGGGAGAUGCUGAGCUUACGUGCGCUGCCUGUGCCAAACAGAAGAAAGCCUCCUCCCGUAAUCCCUCACCCAGUGUUUGUGCCAGGACUUCCACUGCAAUAGCCCUGCUUUGAUGGCAGCCAUUGAAGGAGAUAAAAAUGAGAGCUUUGGAGCAGUAUCUUCAUGGAGCAUGAUGACUCUUGACAGCAGGAGACACAUUCACCACCUGAAGGCUACGGAGCGCCUGUGCCUGAACAGCAGACAAGGACCCAGUGGUUUCAGAUGGACGCUUCUCCACUACCUCCUGCUCUCCUCUGGACUUCAGUGCUCAGGAAAGCCACUGCACUCCUGUGAUCUC